AUAUAUAUAUAUAUAGAGAGAGAGAGAGAGAGAGAGGGAGAGAGAGAGAGAGAGAGAAUUGAGCUUCUAUGCUUUUAAAUGAUUUGUGCUAUUAAGUUUUGUACCUUAGAUUAAAAAAUAUGCAGUUAUAUAUGAGUCCGGCUCCUAUGCUAUUAAUAGCACGAAGCACUUAGUGCUACUAAGUUUUCCAUCGCUAGAUCUAUCCUUUUGAUCAUUUUCAUUCGUUAGAUCAUACUAUUUAAUCAACCAUCCACUCAACCCUAGGGGGUCCACAUCAUCCUAGCCGCACAUUUCUUAAUCCAAUGGUCAAAAACUUGGUAGCACUAUAUAUAUAUAUAUAUAUUCAGAAAGUGACCUCUUC
rnacentral:lncRNA from 1 species